UGGGUUAGCUGGGUGAGGGGAGACAUGGAGUUUGUUGGAUGCACUCUGAAGAGAGAUGGAGUUGGUGUUGUGAAGAGCUGCACUUGAGAAAUUGCUGAGAAGGCCUCGGGAAUGGUCCGGCACUCAUCAAUGUCUGCAAGGAAAUUGCAAAGGUUUAAAGAGUCACUGCUCCUUAAUGGGACCGGUCAAAAAAUAACUCAUGUGUUUAUUGCAUAGCAUUGCAAAAAAAAAAAUUAUAUUCUCCAUCAAAUGGCUAACCCUUCCUUGUGGAGCCUCACUUUGAAGUUAGAUUGCACUCAAACAGAAAACAUCUUUUAUAUUCAACAUAUCCUGUGAUCUACUCAUACUAUUAGAGUAGUAAAACUGCUCUAGAACUCUAGAGUACUCAUACUAUAUCCUCUAAUACUAGGACUACUAUAUCCUCUAAUAUGAUAUAUAUUAUCCCUCUGUCCUCUAGUACUAUGAGCACUCUAGAGUACUCAUACUGUUAGAGGAUAGAGGGAGAGGACAAGGCCUGCUUUACUAUUCCAUAGAAGUUUAGUUUAGACACUGAUUUACACAUGGCUGCAGCAUGCUACUGCCUGUUCCUGCUGCAGGGUCUGUCCAAACCACAACAUGCAGAUCAGGAUUUCAGAAACUGAUGGUUUGGUCUGCCCAGCUGUGAAAUUUGGAUCCUGCUUUGGAAGUCUCGGUUCCCUCCCUCCGAGUUAGGGAUGCUCGGAUCUGGGGACACAGUUCAGGCCUCUUGCUUUGACUGAGAUUGUGGCUGAAUUAAAUUUAGAAGGGUAUAACUGCUUUAGCCAAAUUGAGCAUUCCCCUGGUUUUUGGGCCACAGAAACAGUAGGCCAUGGCAGAACAAACAAUCUGCUGCAGGUUUUUCCUUUUCUGUCUGGGUGACUUUAUGGCAUGUAGAAGAUGCUGCCCUGGAGACUGAAUGCCAUUGACAAAAAGGUGCUGCUGGGCAAAGUGCAGAUUUCCUUAAGUACCAGCUCAGUUUACUUGGAGUUGGAGUUUCUGAGAAUGGAAGGCUUUAUUUAAGCCUGCAGGUGGAGACAGGCAGCAAAGACAAUAAAUCCUGAGUUUGAAGGAGAAAGAGAAGGAGGGUGAACAGCCCUUUUUCUUUGGCAGCUACACUGAGCUCCUAUCAAAAUGCAUCAUUGUUGUUUGAGUAGCCCUGACAGCCUGUUAGUAUCUGAACAAUGUCAAAGAUCAGUGCUAUGUAAUGACACACACACACACACACAUAUUUAUAUAUACACAUAUUUGUUGUAUAUACAUGUAUACAAACACACAUUUAUCACACAGUAAGAAAUUUUCAUCUAAAACAUAGUAGGAGCACCACAAUGUUAACUCAAUAAAUUCAGGAUUUCUGAACCCAAAUUUAAAUAUAUUGAUUUAAUCAAAGUCCUACCUAAGCAUUGCCCAGAGGCACGGUCCAGGUCAAACCCAUUAGUGCAUUGCUGCUAAAAUGAGAGAAAAAAAGGACACUCAGUGAUGGUGAAUGAGAGAUUUGCAGAGUCAAAUGCUCAUCUGGAUCAUUAU